GAUCUUCUUCGGAAUUGACGUUUUGUAGACUGAGUGGCGGACGGGUGAGUAACGCGUGGGUAACCUGCCCUGUACAGGGGGAUAACAGUCAGAAAUGACUGCUAAUACCGCAUAAGACCACAGCACCGCACGGUGCAGGGGUAAAAACUCCGGUGGUACAGGAUGGACCCGCGUCUGAUUAGCUGGUUGGUGAGGUAACGGCUCACCAAGGCGACGAUCAGUAGCCGGCUUGAGAGAGUGAACGGCCACAUUGGGACUGAGACACGGCCCAAACUCCUACGGGAGGCAGCAGUGGGGAAUAUUGCACAAUGGGGGGAACCCUGAUGCAGCGACGCCGCGUGAGUGAAGAAGUAUCUCGGUAUGUAAAGCUCUAUCAGCAGGGAAGAAAAUGACGGUACCUGACUAAGAAGCCCCGGCUAACUACGUGCCAGCAGCCGCGGUAAUACGUAGGGGGCAAGCGUUAUCCGGAAUUACUGGGUGUAAAGGGUGCGUAGGUGGUAUGGCAAGUCAGAAGUGAAAACCCAGGGCUUAACUCUGGGACUGCUUUUGAAACUGUCAGACUGGAGUGCAGGAGAGGUAAGCGGAAUUCCUAGUGUAGCGGUGAAAUGCGUAGAUAUUAGGAGGAACAUCAGUGGCGAAGGCGGCUUACUGGACUGAAA
rnacentral:rRNA from 1 species